rnacentral:rRNA from 1 species
CAGCAGCCACGGGAAUACGAAGGGGGCUAGCGUUGUUCGGAAUCACUGGGCGUAAAGGGUGCGUAGGCGGAUUCUUAAGUCAGGGGUGAAAUCCCGAGGCUCAACCUCGGAACUGCCUUUGAUACUGGGGAUCUUGAGUCCGGAAGAGGUGAGUGGAACUGCGAGUGUAGAGGUGAAAUUCGUAGAUAUUCGCAAGAACACCGGUGGCGAAGGCGGCUCACUGGUCCGGAACUGACGCUGAGGCACGACAGCGUGGGGAGCAAACAGGAUUAGAUACCCCGGUAGUCCCUGUCUCUUAUAC